rnacentral:misc_RNA from 1 species
CCUCGAUUGUACAUGGGUAGUCAUCUUUCCAAUUAUAUCCCUCAAAUUAACAUACGCGGUGUGUUAGUUUUGCAGAAGACUUACGUUCUUCCUUGUAAUUUAAAAUAAAAUUGGAGGGCAUUUAGGAAACUUUAACAGACCUUCUUCCUAUAUAUAACCCCUUCUUGUCAUUUUUUAACUCACUUGGUUUCAUCUGCCAGCUGUUCUAUUCUCCUUCCUUUCGACUUCAUAUAUCCCUUUUACCUUCUCUGUCUUUCGCUUGCUCGAUAAAUCUAUGCAGAUCAGCCCAAGUCUUCCGGCUGAGCACCUCCACCUAGUUCAGGCCAGACGCGGCAGCUUCAGAUGCCAACAAUCUCCGUUAAAUCCUUUAACGAAACCCAGUUCGGCGUCGACUACAACUCAAUCUUUGAAGCCGGUUACUUCAACUGAGUCAACUAAGAAACACCUCGCCAAUCUUGAAAAACUUCUUCAAAAGAAGACUAUUCCGGAGCCCAACUUACCGGAACCUGUACAAACGGUUCAUAAAGUUUCCAAUGAGAAUAAUAAUAAUAACAAUAAUAGAUCCACAUUGGCAAACAAAGGUAAAGCUUUACUUGAAGGCCUCAACUUGGCUAGGAUGUGGCCUGAAAUACGAGCUGCUGAGGAAAUGUCGCCCAGACACCUAAAUAGGCUUCAGCGCUUGUUGUCCAAAACUGCGGAGUAUUCUCCCAGGAAUAAUCUGGGUUCCCGGUGGAGAGAGUAUCAUGGAAGUAACGAUUGGGCCGGGCUUCUUGACCCCCUGGAUGAGAACCUCCGGCGAGAGGUGGUGAGGUAUGGAGAAUUCGUGCAAGCUGCCUAUCAUGCUUUCCAUUCGAACCCCGCAAUGUCAACAGAGGAAGCUCCGUUGCCCAGACACGUGGCUUUGACCGACAGGUCAUAUAAGGUGACGAAGAGCCUCUACGCUACAUGCUCCGUGGGGUUGCCCAAAUGGGUAGAUGAUGUUGCACCGGAUCUCGGUUGGAUGACCCAGCGAUCCAGUUGGGUCGGAUACGUGGCGGUAUGUGAUGACAAAAGAGAGAUCCAGAGGAUGGGAAGGAGGGAUAUAGUGAUCGCAUUACGUGGUACAGCCACGUGUCUUGAAUGGGCUGAGAACAUGAGAGCCCAUUUAGUGGAUAUGCCCGGGAACUAUGACGGACAACCCAAGGUGGAAUGUGGGUUCUUGAGCCUGUACAAAACCAGUGGAGCUCAUGUGCCCAGCCUAGCCGAAUCAGUGGUUGAAGAGGUAAAAAGGCUCAUGGAACAAUACAAGGGUGAGACCCUAAGCAUCACAGUCACAGGCCACAGCCUAGGGGCAGCCUUGGCCCUAUUAGUUGCAGAUGAUAUAAGUACUAUACAAGCCUCUGAAAUGCCACCAGUUGCAGUUUUUUCCUUCGGUGGACCUAAAGUUGGUAACAGAGGAUUUGCAAACCAAAUUAAUGCCAAAAAUGUAAAGGUCUUGCGCAUUGUGAAUGAUCAAGAUGUUAUCACCAAGGUUCCUGGCUUGCCCGUGGUUGAACAACUAAAUGAUAACAUGCCAAUGGCCUACUCGCACGUAGGAACUGAGCUUCGUGUGGAUACCAAGAUGUCGCCCUAUCUAAAACCAAAUGCUGACGUGGCAUGCUGCCAUGAUUUGGAGGCUUAUCUCCAUUUGGUUGAUGGGUUCUUGGCUUCAAAUUGUCCAUUUAGAGCAAACGCAAAGCGAAGUUUAGUGAAGUUGCUUAAUGAUCAGGAGUCUAAUGUCAAGAAAUUGUAUACAAGCAAAGCUCAUGCUUUGAGCUUGAAUCUUGAUAGGAGGGGAUUCUCCACUUCUGGUUGUUUGCCUAGUCCAUCUCAAUAAAAUUUUCUUCUUCUUACAAAAUAAUUGUUGAUAAAAAAAAUCAAAUGACAAUAUACUUUUGAUAUAAAUAUAAUGAUCAAGUUGUUAAAUGCAAUUUGCAUUAUAUAUGUCCAAUCAAAUCAAUCAAUUUUAAUUCCA